AACUUGUAUAAUUUUAUCAAAAGGAUAUUCUCUCUUCCAUCAUUUCUAGUUCGCCCGAUUGAUCUGGCUUUGUAAUAAAGCCAACUCUUUCGUAAUCCACUGGCACAUUAUUCUUAAUCAACAUAUUUAAGAUCCAUUUAAAAUGCAUUGCAUUAUGCUUUCCAACAAUAUCGAAUUCAGAAUACGUACAUGUUUCGUUAUAUCCUCGUGUAAGUUUCUAGCUUUCUGCUCAAGAUCCAGCUGGUCCAACAAGGCAUUUGGGUUAGUAAUAGUGCAUGAAAAAAUGCUUUCACUUCUAAAGGAAACAUGGUAACGGUAAUAGACCGAUAAGUUUCCAUGGCAGACAUUUAAUUUUUUCCAGUAAAAGAUGCCACAACUUUAUAAAUCGAUGAUGUUAUCAUAAUUCACCUUAAUUAUCAUCAAUGUUUAAAAGGCUGCUUCGAUACGGCACAGUAUAUGAAGAAAUGUAAAUAAAUUGUAAAUCCUAUGUAAAUUCCUAAAUUAACUUAAAGAGCUUACGACGGUCGGCCUUUCAAGCAUGCGAGUUCUCAUUCACCGAUUUAAAUCCUCGAUUUCUUCCUGCAAACAGUAGUACACAGUUAAGUCUCGUACGAUUGAACAUGAAAUUUGGCUUAACUAGAAAAACCGAUAUUUUAUAUAGUUUUCACGGAUAAGGAAGUUGUUACUCAAGUUAAUUCUGACCUGACAACUAUUAAAACUCUGUAAUUCUUUUUCGAAAAGAAGAGGGACGAAUACCGAAACGUAUUCAAAACAAGUUACCUCAGUGAAGUCAUCGUCUGAUAGUUUGCAAACAGGAAUAUCUUUUACCGUGUUAGAAACUUGUAAGAGAAUUGUAGAAUUUGUAGGUAUAAAGGACACUUCAAUGAAGGAAAACAUGAAUUUUACGAUUCUCUUGCAAGUUUCUAACAUGGUAAAAGAUAUUCCUGUUCGCAAACUAUCAGACGACGACUUCACUGAGGUAACUUGUUUUUAAUACGAAAUCUAAAAUAGUAUCAUUUUAUUAUAUUGUAUACUUUUACAUUUACACCAUUGUUAUAAUUUUACGAAUCAAAGUUCAAUCAGUUUUCAUCUUCGAUCUUCGAUACUAACUAUCACAUUGACUUAGAUCUAAAGUAUGUUCUUCUACUUAUCGAGAGGUAUCGAUCCAUCAUAUCAAUCGUCAAAUUGUCACUUAAAACUUACUAGCCAGUUUAGUGAUCAUUUUGUAACUUUUUAAAGUUGAAUGUCUGAAACGCAAACUUACCGUUAGUUUAGUGGCAUUAGGUGUAGUUUACCCUAUAUAUUUAUAAUAAAAUACCACAUUUACUAAUUAAAAAAUAUUUCUACAUUAUUUGAAAAUAUAUAUAUUACCAGCACGAGAAUCCCCAAGAUUCUCCUUCUACUUUUGGAUUCUUUGGGCGAUAGAGAAAAUUACUAUCUUUGGAUUUAUACACAUUCCUGGGUUUUUAACUUUUCAAUUUUGGGGUCUCCUCUAGAAAAGGAUUAAGUGGAGAAACCAACAAAGAUUUCUGGGUUUUUUUUCUUUGUUGGGUUUUCAUAUUAUUGAGGUUUUAUACAUAAAAUGGGUCGAAUGGAGAAUAUUUUUCAUCGUAUAAAGCCGUCAUUGUUAAUAGUAUUGGUACAGAUCAUAUUUGCUGGUAUUAAUGUAAUGUAUAAGUUGGCUGCUAAUGAUGGUAUGAGUUUAAGGGUUAUUGUGGUUUAUAGAUUCAUGUUUGCCACUGUUAUCAUGGUUCCACUUGCUCUUAUUUUUGAAAGGUUAAAGCUUAAUCUUUUUUGGUUUCAGUUGUUCUUUUAUCAGUUGUUUUUAUUAUUAUUAUUUGUGUUUUGUUUUUUACUGGAAGAGCUUGAAGAAAAUAAAUAGAAAACUACUGCUUCAAGCGUUUCUUUGUGGAUUAUUUGGAGGAUAAUUGGUUCAAAACUUGUACCUGCAAAGCUUGGUGCAUACAUCUGCAACAUUUGUUGCAGCCAUGGUCAACCUUGCUCCAGCCUUUACUUUUAUUUUGGCCAUUUGUUUCAAGAUGGAGAAACUGGCAAUAAGAACAAAUGCAAGGAAAGCCAAAAUGUGUGGGACAUUAAUAGGAAUAGGCGGAGCAAUGGUAUUCACAUUUUACAAAGGUAUAGACAUAAACAUCUAAUCUGGUCAACAAAUGUAAACCUUUUAAAGCAUCAUCAUCAUCAACAAGUAGGUCAUGGGCCUUCAUAUCAUGGCACUGGUCACUUCACUAUUGGUGCUUUUUUUGGUCUUUUCAGUUGCGUUUCUUUCUCUUUGUGGUUGAUCAAUCAAGUAAAACUUGGGUUCUUUUCCUUUUCCUAUUUCUUCAAUUUCACUUUACUUACAUGGUCUUUUUUCGUACUUAACUUUUGAACUCUGUUAGGCUAAAAUGAGUGUGGGGUUCCUUACUUGUAUUCAAGCACUACUUUGAUGUGUUUGAUGGGAUCAAUACAAUGAGCUUUGUAUGCAGUUUGUACUGCGAAGGAUUGGAAUCGAUGGAAGCUUGGGUGCAAUGUUAGGCUUUUAGCUAUUGCUUUUGUGGUAUUUUAAUAGCUUUUAGCCCGGCCCAUGCACAUCUCUACACACAACACAAAGAAAACCCUUUCAUUGGAUAA